ensembl:lncRNA C5orf64 chromosome 5 putative open reading frame 64
CUGGAGCUGCAAACUGCCCUCAGGGCAAAGAAGCCUGCAGAAUAAUUGGGAGGAGUCUGGCAGGAAGGAAGCCAAGUUUCCUGAGGCCCUCACCAGAAGCUCAUCAGAAGCAGAUGCUGGCACCACUCUUCUUAUGCUGUCUGCGUAACUAAUCAGUAUUUCAAGCAUCCAAAAUGUGUAGGAGAAUAUGGACCCAAGAACGGAGCAGAGAGACAAAUAGAGGAACGGAAAGUUUUGCCUACAACCAUGAUGUUCUCAAUGUUAGCUGACUGUGUUCUAAAAUCCACUCCAAUUCCCAUUUUGGGAGUUGCUAUGUGAUGAAGGUCUGCCCCUGUGGUGUUGGGACAACUUGCUCAUGGAGUUGCAGUUCUUGCCUAACAGGAACCCACCAUGCUCAACAGGGGUUGCUCUGGAUGCAUGGUCACUUGAUGUCCCAUGUGCAGAAGAUUCAUCUCUGUCAGAGCUCAGGAUGGAGCUAAUUUUCAAAUGAGCUGCCUCCUGCCCCUGAGGGGAGGAGUCCAUCCUCUUCUAUAGGAUACACCUGUUGGCUUGUUUGUCCUUCCUUCCCCUUUCUGGGAAUUGUUCUCCAUCAACAUGUUUAUGGGGACAGCCAUUUCUAUACAAUGUGACCUGUAUUGAUCUAUUUUGUGUUGCUAUAAAUAAAUACCUGAGGCUGGUAAUUUUUAAAGAAGAGAGGUUAAUUUGGCCCAUAAUUCUGCAGGCUGUACAAGAAGCAUGGCACCAGCAUCUGCUUCUGGUGAGGCCGCAGGAAGCUUCCACUCAUGGUGGAAGGUGGAGGAGGAGCAGGCGUGUUAUAUGGCAAGAGCGAGAGCAAGAGAGAGAGCAGAAGGUGUCAGGCAACCAGCUCUCAUGUGAACUAAUGAGCAAGGACUCACUCAUCACCAAGGGGAUGGCCCCAGCCAUUCCUGAGAGAUCCGCCCCCUAACCCAAACACCUCCCACCAAGCCCCACCUCCAAGACUGGCGGUCAAAUUUUAACAUGAGACCUUCAUUAUCAAUGUUUGUGUAUCUACACAUCCAAAGUAGAUCAUCAUCUUUGGUCUUUGGGAGAUACACCAGAGAAAAACAACUCCUCUGGCCUGGGAGAUUUUGACUUUCUGCUUUUCAUGUGUGUUUGCUUUUAUCGAAGAGGGAAUCUGCUACUUGCCUGAUGCAACUGCAUUUGGAUACUGAACUGGGGCCCAAAGAGUCUCAAAUCACUGCCUGGGAAUGCCAAUUUCUCAUCAUGAAUUAGAAAUCAAUUCUAGCAGCCUCCCUGCUAAGUAAAAAAAUUACAUAAUUCUUUCUGCACUACUGCAUUAGGCUGAUUUUUUUUUUCCUUUUCCUGAAUGUACAGUAAAUCUCUAGUGGUUUAAGCCAUGGUGCCUCUGCUUAAACACAAUAUGAAAUCGCUACCAAAUUUAAAUAAAAAAUAAAUUCUGUGUUGUGUUAGGAGUCUCUCCUGCCAAAAACUCUCACACAAUUAACACACUAACAGAAUGUGUUGCUAAUUUCAUGCCACUGGAGUCUUUUCUGCUUCAGAAUAUAGAAACAAAAUCAGGUCAGAGCUCCAAUAAUAACAGGAUUUUGUUAAAAUAUACAGCCCUGUGUUGUAGAUACGUUGUAAGAAUGGGUGAAAAGGGGACUCACAGUGAUGCACGAAAUAGCUCACUACUGCAAAUAGAAGUGGGAGAACUUGUCUCCAGCUUCUUUGCAGAGAGAGAGAGGGGGAGAGAGGAGAGAGAGGGUGGAGAGAGAUUAGGGGAGAGAGGUAGAGAGAGAGAGAGGAAGAGAGACUGAGAGAGAGGGAGACGGGUAGAGGGAGAGGAGAGAGAGAGGAUGGGAGAAAGGGAAAGAGGAGAGAGAGAGGGAGACAAGAAGAGAGAGGGAGAAAGGAGAGAG